AUUGAACGCUGGCGGCAGGCCUAACACAUGCAAGUCGAGCGAGCGGCGGACGGGUGAGUCAUGUAUGGGGACUGCCCGAUAGAGGGGGAUAACUACUGGAAACGGUGGCUAAUACCGCCUACUGUGGGAUAACCCAUAUGGGAUUAGCUCGUAGGUAAGGUAAUGGCUUACCUAGGCAACGAUCCCUAGCGGGUCUGAGAGGAUGAUCAGCAACACUGGGACUGAGACACGGCCCAGACUCCUACGGAGGCAGCAGUGGGGAAUAUUGCACAAUGGUCGCAAGCCUGCUGCAGCCAGGCCGCGUGUAUGAAGAAGGCCCUAGGGUUGUAAAGUACUUUCAGUCGGGAGGCGUUACCGACAGAAGAAGCACCGGCUAACUCCGUGCCAGCAGCCGCGGUAAUAC
rnacentral:rRNA from 1 species